GAUUGAACGCUGGCGGCAUGGCUAAAGCAUGCAAGUCAACGUGCCCGCAAGGGCAAGUGGCGGAAGGGUCAGUAAGACGAUCGAACGUGCCCCGAGGUGGGGGAUAGGGUGGGGAAACCCGCCGUAAUACCCCAUGUGCUCUACGGAGGAAAGGCUUGUCCGCCUCGGGAGCGGCGAUCGGCCUAUCAGGUAGUUGGUGGGGUAACGGCCCACAAGCCGAAGACGGGUAGCAGGUGUGAGAGCAUGACCUGCGACAUCGGGACUGAGACACUGCCCGGACUCCUACGGGAGGCUGCAGCGACGAAUCUUCCGCAAUGGGCGAAAGCCUGACGGAGCAAUGCCGCGUGCGGGAUGAAGCGGCUUCGCCGUGUAAACCGCUGUCGA
rnacentral:rRNA from 1 species